UAAAGAACAUUAACAUGUUAGGGUCAGCUGAUGACUAGAAUAUUUUACAAGUAAUUUUUAAAGUUGAUUUUUUAAAAUAAAACAUACUCCAUAGACAAAUAUCUUAAAUCCAUUUUCUUCAUCCCUACCGCAAGCAAUUGUCAUGAAUGUGACAUCUAGCUUGGGUGCCACUAACUGUUCUUCUCCAGAUAACAGCUAGUUAGGAUCGGAAGUGGUGACCAAAGUGGUUCCCUAGUCAUGACUGUGAUUGACAAGUUUCCUAAACCACUUCCUCUUCAGGUAUCUUAUCUAAGAAUACAGAAAAAGGAGAUUUGGAAACUAUGUAUGAAUACAGUUAAGACAAUAGUUUGCCUCUUUCAGGAUCUGAAAAUGGCUCCUGACAUUGGAUGCAGCAAUCGUGCAAAGAAUACAAAAGAACCUCUUACAUCUACUGACUGCUUCUCUGCUGAGAUUCUGGCACUGGCAUCUUUAUAGAAGAAUAAAUAAAUGUUUCAAUGUAAGCAAUAAGCGAUCUCGCGACAAUAAAGAAGCAAAUGAACGAAAACUCAGGAAGUUCUUUUGACACUCAGAGCUGAUUUCCUCAAUCACAUUGGUUUUGAAAACAGAGAAUUAUACGCAGUAUAACAUUCAGAAAAGUGACUUUUUAAAACAAACCUGCCAUAUGCCACACACCCAAAUAAUUGUUGACCCUUUAUAAUACUUUUUAUAAUAUUGGUUUUUAUUGGUGGCUUUAGACAUUUUUUUCAUUGUUACUUCUAUAGAAUCAGGGAUCUCUUCUGAAACUAAAAUAAAAUGACUUGAAAAAUAAAAUAUAACAAAUUGUGUUGAUAACAGAUUUGAAUUUUGAAAACAGCUAGGAAAUAUAUGGCUUCAAGUCUGAUGAAAAGUUGGGGAAAAAAUAUGAUUAUAUAGUAAAAAUAAUGUUU
rnacentral:lncRNA from 1 species